rnacentral:sRNA from 1 species
UUAAUUACUUAGAAUUAAAGGACACUUGAUUUUCUGUUUAGCUCGCCCCUACACAAGUACUACAGCAUUGCCCGCUAAUCCAGCGCAGCCAUUUUCUGCGAAUCAAGACGCCAAUGGCAAAGAUUGUCCUUCCAAAAUGAAAGGCAGCAAUAACACAAGUGUCCGGGUCGGACUAGGUUUCGGUACUUUGUUUCUGGGACUUCUUGUUGGAGGACUAGCGACAUUCCUUUUUAUGAAAUUCAAAUAUACAAGAAACAAUCCAGAAGAUUCUCAAAUGCUGACACCAUGGGAAAAUUAACUGUUUGGGUGUUAGAAGCAGUUGACUUGUUUUAAUUGUAGGAAGUAAAGCCUAAUUCUAAUUAGAAACACCAUCAGGAAAAGAAGUUUGGUAAAAAAAAUGUAUUUUAAUAGGAAAAAAAAGUGAACCA